AAAAUUUUAAGUUAAAUUUAAACUAAUAACCUUCAAAGUUAUAAAUAAAAGUAAUAUAACCUUUUAAAUUUUA
rnacentral:tRNA from 1 species